CGCGUAGGCGGUUUGCUAAGUCAGAUGUGAAAGUCCACGGCUCAACUGUGGAAGUGCAUUUGAAACUGUCAGACUUGAGUAUCGGAGGGGAGUGUGGAAUUCCCGGUGUAGAGGUGAAAUUCGUAGAGAUCGGGAGGAACACCGGUGGCGAAGGCGACACUCUGGACGAAUACUGACGCUGAGGCGCGAAAGCGUGGGGAGCAAACA
rnacentral:rRNA from 1 species